CCUACGGGAGGCUGCAGUGAGGAAUAUUGGUCAAUGGGCGGAAGCCUGAACCAGCCAAGUAGCGUGCAGGAUGACGGCCCUACGGGUUGUAAACUGCUUUUAUACGGGAAUAACGCGCCUUACGUGUAGGGCUUUGCAUGUACCGUAUGAAUAAGGACCGGCUAAUUCCGUGCCAGCAGCCGCGGUAAUACGGAAGGUCCGGGCGUUAUCCGGAUUUAUUGGGUUUAAAGGGAGCGUAGGCCGCAUGUCAAGCGUGCUGUGAAAUGUACGGGCUCAACCCGCGCCUAGCCGUGCGAACUGGUGUGCUGGAGUGAGCGGGAAGCAGGCGGAAUUCGUGGUGUAGCGGUGAAAUGCAUAGAUAUGACGAAGAACCCCGAUUGCGAAGGCAGCAUGCCGGCGCGGAACUGACGCUCAUGCACGAAAGCGUGGGUAUCGAACAGGAUUAGAUACCCUGGUAGUC
rnacentral:rRNA from 1 species